GCGUAAAGAGCUCGUAGGUGGUUUGUCGCGUUGUUCGUGAAAUCUCACGGCUUAACUGUGAGCGUGCGGGCGAUACGGGCAGACUUGAGUACUGCAGGGGAGACUGGAAUUCCUGGUGUAGCGGUGGAAUGCGCAGAUAUCAGGAGGAACACCGGUGGCGAAGGCGGGUCUCUGGGCAGUAACUGACGCUGAGGAGCGAAAGCGUGGGGAGCGAACAGGAUUAGAUACCCUGGUAGUCCACGCCGUAAACGGUGGGUACUAGGUGUGGGUUUCCUUCCUUGGGAUCCGUGCCGUAGCUAACGCAUUAAGUACCCCGCCUGGGGAGUACGGCCGCAAGGCUAAAACUCAAAGAAAUUGACGGGGGCCCGCACAAGCGGCGGAGCAUGUGGAUUAAUUCGAUGCAACGCGAAGAACCUUACCUGGGUUUGACAUGCACAGGACGCCGGCAGAGAUGUCGGUUCCCUUGUGGCCUGUGUGCAGGUGGUGCAUGGCUGUCGUCAGCUCGUGUCGUGAGAUGUUGGGUUAAGUCCCGCAACGAGCGCAACCCUUGUCUCAUGUUGCCAGCGGGUAAUGCCGGGGACUCGUGAGAGACUGCCGGGGUCAACUCGGAGGAAGGUGGGGAUGACGUCAAGUCAUCAUGCCCCUUAUGUCCAGGGCUUCACACAUGCUACAAUGGCCGGUACAAAGGGCUGCGAUGCCGCGAGGUUAAGCGAAUCCUUUUAAAGCCGGUCUCAGUUCGGAUCGGGGUCUGCAACUCGACCCCGUGAAGUCGGAGUCGCUAGUAAUC
rnacentral:rRNA from 1 species